GACGAACGCUGGCGGCAGGCUUAACACAUGCAAGUCGAACGCCCCGCAAGGGGAGUGGCAGACGGGUGAGUAACGCGUGGGAAUCUACCCAUCUCUGCGGAAUAGCCCCGGGAAACUGGAAUUAAUACCGCAUACGCCCUACGGGGGAAAGAUUUAUCGGGGAUGGAUGAGCCCGCGUUGGAUUAGCUAGUUGGUGGGGUAAAGGCCUACCAAGGCGACGAUCCAUAGCUGGUCUGAGAGGAUGAUCAGCCACAUUGGGACUGAGACACGGCCCAAACUCCUACGGGAGGCAGCAGUGGGGAAUAUUGGACAAUGGGCGCAAGCCUGAUCCAGCCAUGCCGCGUGAGUGAUGAAGGCCUUAGGGUUGUAAAGCUCUUUCACCGGUGAAGAUAAUGACGGUAACCGGAGAAGAAGCCCCGGCUAACUUCGUGCCAGCAGCCGCCGUAA
rnacentral:rRNA from 1 species